UGGCUGUGGUUAUGGGUGGGCCCAGUAGAAAGCCCCUUGGUAAUAACCAGGUCCAGAGUAUGGCUGUGGUUAUGGGUGGGCCCAGUAGAAAGCCCCUUGGUAAUAACCAGUCCAGAGUAUGGCUGUGGUUAUGGGUGGGCCCAGUAGAAAGCCCCUUGGUAAUAACCAGGUCCAGAGUAUGGCUGUGGUUAUGGGUGGGCCCAGUAGAAAGCCCCUUGGUAAUAACCAGGUCCAGAGUAUGGCUGUGGUUAUGGGUGGGCCCAGUAGAAAGCCCCUUGGUAAUAACCAGGUCCAGAGUAUGGCUGUGGUUAUGGGUGGGCCCAGUAGAAAGCCCCUUGGUAAUAACCAGGUCCAGAGUAUGGCUGUGGUUAUGGGUGGGCCCAGUAGAAAGCCCCUUGGUAAUAACCAGGUCCAGAGUAUGGCUGUGGUUAUGGGUGGGCCCAGUAGAAAGUAGGUGCUCUGGUCUGGUGGCUGACAUUUAAACAGUAUAACAUGAUGCUCUGGUCUGGUGGCUGACAUUUAAACAGUAUAACAUGAUGCUCUGGUCUGGUGGCUGACAUUUAAACAGUAUAACAUGAUGCUCUGGUCUGGUGGCUGACAUUUAAACAGUAUAACAUGAUGCUCUGGUCUGGUGGCUGACAUGUAAACAGUAUAACAUGAUGCUCUGGUCUGGUGGCUGACAUUUAAACAGUAUAACAUGAUGCUCUGGUCUGGUGGCUGACAUUUAAACAGUACAACAUGAUGCUCUGGUCUUGUGGCUGACAUUUAAACAGUACAACAUGAUGCUCUGGUCUGGUGGCUGACAUUUAAACAGUAUAACAUGAUGCUCUGGUCUGGUGGCUGACAUUUAAACAGUAUAACAUGAUGCUCUGGUCUGGUG
rnacentral:lncRNA from 1 species